rnacentral:piRNA from 1 species
UAGGCUUCUGUUUACAGUACCUGGGU